GACGAACGCUGGCGGCGUGCUUAACACAUGCAAGUCGAACGAAGCUUGAUUACGGAUUCUUCGGAUGAAGUAUGAUAUGACUGAGUGGCGGACGGGUGAGUAACGCGUGAGUAACCUGCCCUUCAGAGGGGGAUAGCGUUUGGAAACGAACGGUAAUACCGCAUAAUGUAUUUUGACCGCAUGAUCGAAAUACCAAAGAUUUAUCGCUGAAGGAUGGACUCGCGUCUGAUUAGGUAGUUGGUGGGGUAACGGCCUACCAAGCCGACGAUCAGUAGCCGGACUGAGAGGUUGAUCGGCCACAUUGGGACUGAGACACGGCCCAGACUCCUACGGGAGGCAGCAGUGGGGAAUAUUGCACAAUGGGCGCAAGCCUGAUGCAGCAACGCCGCGUGAAGGAAGACGGUUUUCGUAUUGUAAACUUCUGUUCUUAGUGAAGAAUAAUGACGGUAGCUAAGGAGCAAGCCACGGCUAACUACGUG
rnacentral:rRNA from 1 species